rnacentral:lncRNA from 1 species
GAAAUAAUGAAUUCUGAAUGUUUACUGAAUAAACUAAUUUAGAAGGUUUGGUUAAUGAAUUAGGGUGUAGAUACCACGUAUUUUCUAAAUCAAAGAGAAAAGUGUUUUGAACCAUCUCCGUAUGGUAGUUUUAUGUUUUCUACGAACUUUGACAAAUUAUCCUAUUAUUUGUUGAUACUUACAUGCUUACUGAGCAUAUUAAGCUCACCUUAUUUAU